rfam:Ictidomys tridecemlineatus contig014904, whole genome shotgun sequence.
GGGGGUGCAGCUCAGUGGUAGAGUGCAUGCUUAACAUGUGAGGGGCCCUGGGUUCAAACCCCAGCAGCACUA